rnacentral:rRNA from 1 species
AUGGAUGUCGAGAAAUUUGAGAAGAAAAAGGAAGAGCUAAAGAUGGAGGUGAAGAUGGAGAAGUCUAGGCUAGCAAAGGAGCAAAAGUGUAUCCUUAAGUCCCAGACAGAAAUAAUUCAAAACACCAGAAAGGACAUGCAUGGUAUCAAGGUGAACAUGGAUCUACUUACACAAGAGAAGAAAGAGCUAGAGACAGUUGUUGUUGAGCUGCUCAAUGCUGGCCAUGCCGCCAUCGCAGAUCCCUUUGCUGCCGCCGAGGUCCUGGAGGAGCCGCCGCCACCUUCAUUGUGGACCUCCAGGUCGCCGUCGGGACACCGCGGCAGAGGUUCGCCACGGCCGCCGUCGAGUUCCGAGAGGGGCAUGACCCCAGGGAGAUCUUCGUCGGGGUUGCCGCCGCCGCCGACGUCGCCUGCCGAAGGUGAGAUCCCAGGACCUGUCUCCUCCUCUCUUUGCAGCGCUAUGCUCUGUCGCGAGGCUGACGGUGGCGGGUGGGUCGAUGAACAGAGAGGAAAGGUACGGUGCCGUCGAUCCGUCCUGCCUGUGGAUUCACUGGAUGCGUCUUGGUGGAGUGAGCGCUCGUGGGCUAAACCUCUCGUCCUCUGGCGACGAACAUCGCCUCCCGCUAGGGUAUGCGGGCGACAAUCGUUACUCAGCGCCAGCAGGUCGCUGCCCCGUCCUCCAAUUGACAAUGGUAGCAUGCUUAUGCCUUGGGGCAUGGUGUCGCGGGUAGAGUGUGUGCUGCCAUGGCUGAACGAAGCAGCAGUCGGCUGUGCACACUGUCUGACUACUAUUGAUGUUGGUGUUUCAUGUAGGCUUGCCUUCAAAUAUCACGGCAAGUGCAACCUGCAUAUUCACAACUCUGAAGCAAUAGAACUACAAUCAGCUCACAACCCCCAUCGAGUAGUACACCAUCUGUUCCAUUCAGAGGUACUCAUCUUGUUGAUUCAGUUGCAUCCCCCUGUACUGAUAUUAGCUAAUAUAAGUGACAAUGCUCUGACUCUUGGAAUUUGUAAUGCUCAUCCAAUCCUCCCCGUCUAUACCUAUUUAAUAGCUUCAAGAGCUCUCCCCAAAUCAUCAUUCAAAAGUUCUUCAUCUACUUGUGCUAUGUUACGUAGAUAUUUUUCUAGCUUUCAAAGGAAGCAUGUCCAGGUGUUCCUAACAUGCUCGAGUAGUUUGGAGAAAAGAUGUGUGAGAAUUGCUGGAAGGAAAGCACUGCUAGAAAUUUCGGAAUUGAGAUGUGGUUUUGAACAGUUCUGUCAGUAUUUCGGAUCUGGGUCCUAUCUUUCUAGCAGAUCACCACAUUUGGCGGGACUUGGCUUAUUAAACAACAAGCAAACAAUAAAUUUUGGGCCGAUGCUACGCAUCAUCCGGCUGAUCCCCGCGCCGGAUCAGCCGCCUCUCCAGCCACUCGAUCGGUUCCUCUGA